AGAGUUUUGGGUGUAGAUGGGCUGCAUCGCCCUAAGCCAGCAAAGGCAGUAUAUGGAUGCUAGGAGGUGUACUCCCACCACAAAUGUAGACAAUGGCAGGGUUUCUAUCCAAUUUUUCCUGCCAGACGGCCUGCCUUCUUCAUCUAUGUCCUGAUCUGUGCCUUUCCUUUGCUUCCCAGUCUCUGCUUUGCAGGAUCAAGCCACUGCCUUGGGUUUGCCGGUGGGGAUCCUCUCGGCCAGAACGGCUGCAAGGAACCUGGAGAAGAUCUCUGCGGAGUCUGGUCAGGCCACGCUGCUGAAAGGAGAGCCAAGAGAAAAGUUGUCUUGCCUGCUGAACACUUUGAAGGAUCUGGCCUCCCAGAAUGCUUUCAGCCCAUCAUUGUUUGCUCAAGAAAUGUGGAAAAUGCAGGUCAGGCCUUAAAGAAAGAAACCAGCUCCGCAAGUGCUCCUCAUUUGCUGUGUCAUACUAUGUCUUUGCGUCAAUAAUAAUGGCAGCAACUAUCUUUGCAAGAUUCAUGCUCUUACUGCAAACCCAAUGUGCUUUGUCCUCAGAGCCCACUCACCCUGGACAUGGCAUGGCACCUCCACAGAGAAGGCCUCUUGAGCCUGGACGAGCUGCUGGAAAAGUAAAUCCGGACUUUGCACAUUGUGUGUGUUUUCAUCUUGACAUAUAAUUUGACAGGAUUUUACCUGCAACCGUUUGGGUUUGGGAGACGAAGAUAGAAUCUCAGAGUUGGAAGAGAUUUCCAAGACUCCUCAGUCCUACCCCCUUCUACCAGGCUGGAAGACACAAUCAAAGCCCUCCCGACAGAUGGCCAUCCAGCUCCAGCUUAAAAACCUCCAGAGAAGAAGACUCCAUCACAGAUAUUCCACUGUCAAACAGCUCUGACUAUGAUAUUAAUAAUAUAGUAUAUUGUAUAUACAUAUAUAAUAUAUUAUAUGAUAAUAAUAUUAUGAUGUAAUACAAUAUAAUAAUACACUAUUAUAAUUGUAUAUUAUAUAUUACAUGUAAUAUUACUAAUAAUAUUGCAGUAUAGGGGUAUAGUACAAUAUACAGAAGAGUCUUACUUAUCCAACACUUGCUUAUACAACGUUCUGGAUUAUCCAACGCAUUUUUGUAGUCAGUGUUUUUAAUAUAUCGUGAUAUUUUGGUGCUAAAUUCAUAAAUACAGUAAUUACUACAUAGCAUUACUGCAUAUUGAACUACUUUUUCUGCCAAAUUUGUUGUUUAACAUGAUGUUUUGGUGCUUCAUUUGUAAAAUCAUAACCUAAUUUGAUGUUGAAUAGGCUUUUCCUUAAUGCCUCCUUAUUAUCCAACAUAUUCGCUUAUUCAACAUUCUGCCUGCCCGUUUAUGUUGGAUAAGUGAGACUCUACUGUGUGUAUAUAUAUAUAUAUAUAUAUAUAUAUGUCUAUAAAUUUGCAUUAAAAUGUCAAUUUCCCCUCUUAAAGGUGUAUACUGGGACAGCUUUGUAUCAAUAAUAGAUAAGCGAGACUCUACUGUAUAUACAUAUAGUAUUGAUAAUAUUAUAAUGUAAUACAAUAUCAUUACUAAUAAAAAAACAAUAUAAUAUAAUUAUAUAUUACAUGUAAUAUUGCUAAUAAUAUUGCAGUAUAGGGGUAUAGUACAAUAUAAUAAUAUAUAAUGCUUAUAUUGUUUUAUGCUAAUAAUAUAAUAUAUUGUAUACAUAUAGUAUUGAUAAUAUUAUAAUGUAAUACAAUAAUAAUAAUACACUAUUAUAAUUGUAUAUUAUAGAUUACAUGUAAUAUUGCUAAUAUUGCAGUAUAGUGGUAUGGUUCAAUAUAGUAAUAUAUAAUGCUAAUAUUGUGCUAUGCUAAUAAUAUAAUAUAUUGUAUGUACAUAUAAAUUGUGAGCUGCCUUGAGUCCCCUUCGGGGUGAGAAGGACAGGAUAUAAAUGUCGCAAAUAAAUAAAUAAUUGCC